UACGGGGGGGGCAAGCGUUGUUCGGAAUUACUGGGCGUAAAGGGUUCGUAGGUGGCCAACUAAGUCAGACGUGAAAUCCCUCAGCUUAACUGGGGAACUGCGUCUGAGACUGGAUGGCUUGAGUGCAGGAGAGGAACGCGGAAUUCCAGGUGUAGCGGUGAAAUGCGUAGAUAUCUGGAGGAACACCGGUGGCGAAGGCGGGUCUCUGGGCCGAUACUGACGCUGAGGAGCGAAAGCGUGGGGAGCGAACAGG
rnacentral:rRNA from 1 species